rnacentral:rRNA from 1 species
GUAACGACUCUCGGCAACGGAUAUCUCGGCUCUCGCAUCGAUGAAGAACGUAGCGAAAUGCGAUACUUGGUGUGAAUUGCAGAAUCCCGUGAACCAUCGAGUCUUUGAACGCAAGUKGCGCCCGAAGCCAUUUGGCCGAGGGCACGUCUGCCUGGGCGUCACGC